CUCUGCCUCCCGGAUUCAAGUGAUUCUCCUACCUCAGCCUCCUGAGUAACUGGGAUUACAGAAUAUAAUCAUCCCAUCCCCAAAGUCUGAACUUGUUCUAGCAUCAAUUCAAAAGUCCAAAGCCUCAUCUGAGACUCAAGGUAAGUUCCUUACAGCUGUGAGUCCAUGAAAUCAAACCUUCUAAACUCUUCCAACUUUUGCCCAUUACCCAGUUCCAAAGCCACUUCCACAUUUUCAAGUAUCUUUAUAGCAACCACCCUCUCCUUGGUACCAUUUGUCUUUCUUAGUUCAUUCAUGUUGCUAUAAAGAAAUGCCUGAGGCCUGGUAACUUGAAAAUAAAUUUUAUUUGGCUCACAGUUCUGCAGCCUGUACAAGAAGCCUGGUGCCAGUAUAUCCUAACCACAACAUCAUUGGUUGGACCAAUCCAGAAAAAGGGUUCUGAUUGUUCAGGCGCUCUUGUACAGUCAAAAGACUGGCAGCUGGUAUUUAUCUUUUCCCUUCAAGGCUCAGGGGUUAGCUGCUGUAUAGAUAAGGGCUGUCCUGAUGAUAAACCUGACUGCAUUUGCACAAAACAGUAGAGUUAGCUUUUCCCUUUCUGCCUUAAAUCUUGAUGCAUGAUUCUCUUCCUGACUAAUAAAUGUAUUUUGUGGCAUUUUUUCCUUACUAAUAAA